rnacentral:lncRNA from 1 species
CAAAAUAAUAGUGGCUGGCACAUGUGCACUGUUUGCCAGGCAUUCUUCUAAGCUUAUAUAUAUAUUGGCUUGUUUAAGGAAUUCAGCUUAGCCAGACCAUAAGAAAAUUGGAAUCUGAAGUCUUCAUUUGUAUCUUCCAGGAUUGCAUGGUAUUUUAAAUUUCUGCUUCUCCUUAGUUCCUGAGAACUGGAAAAUUAGGAUGCACAGACUCCUUUUCUUUGUAUCUUUUAGGGGUUGCAUAAUAUCGCUCAUGUGUGUUACACAUUAAUUUUCCUCCUAACCCUUUCCUGUUUGCACAUGGCCAGAGAUGACCUGCCCAGAGGCGGCUUCAUAGGAGAGAUCAGCUCCUGGGAGUGGAAUCUGAGCACUUUAGCUCACUCUAUGGGUUGGUCUGAGUCAGAGGUCUUCCCUGUGUCCAGUAGACUGUGGUGACAUCUGUAUGAGUCAUGAGGUACAAUCUUUACCAGAGACCAUCCUGAAGUGAUUUCAGACUUGGAGAAUGGGCUGUCAGUCGUCCCAAAUCACAUCUAGGAACCUUGAAGAAUGGGGCCUCUGCAAGAGGAGGUGGGCUGGGUCUUCUUGGUGAGUUUUGCAGCCAACGUCUGCCAGGAUGGUGUGUGGUAAUGGUGAGCCAGGCAAGGCCGGGGUGGAGCCUCUGUCCACUGCUAGGAGGCUGCAGAUUCCUGAAGGUUCUUCCAGACGUGCCUCUAGAUCUCCCCAUCAUUCCUGUUGGAGUUGAUUUCUAACUGUUCCCUCUCUUUUCACAUCUCUCUCCUCUACACCUCAGACAGAAUUACCCUUCAUAAAUACACAUUGAUCCUAUGGAUUUACUAUUAAAACUUCAUUCAUUGAUCCCCAUGGCUUGCAGCAGCAGCGUUUACGGGGUGCCAGGUACACUGGUCAGUGUGACCCAGUUGGCGAGCUGGUAGGAGGGGGCUGUAGGUGCCACCGCUAAAGGGCAGGAAGCGCCAUCGCGGCGCCUUAUCCCUGGGCUCCAGCUCUGGGGAGUUGGAGUCACUGAGGGAAACCGAGGGAGGCUGGCCUGAGGAAUUCUCACCGUGGCGCCUCCUCUCCAGCCGCGGCCCACCUUCUGCUUCAAUUCGCCUCCUGUCAGCCUUAAUAUUCUCUCCCGGUCUAGACACCAUUUCCUGAAAGUCCCCCUCAUCCCUCCCUUGUUUAUGUUCUUUUCUGUGACCUAAAAUGCUCUUGCACACCCUCCUUCCCAGCCUGCAGAGACUCGUCUUUAUGAAUCUCAUCUUGUUUCUUGGCGCAGCUUCCCUUUUCCCAUCUGGCACGGGAAGCCGGCUGCUCCUCCUGGUUUCUCUGUAUUGGACACGUAUUGAUCACAGCGCUCAGUGUUGCUUAGUGAGGCCUCUGUUCCUCCCACCUCACCGCGGACUCCUGGAAGCUUCCAGAGGCUGUCUGUAUGGCUGGCUUGUGGUCCCUGCCUCUGUCUUCAAGGUCAGCAAUGGGGAUUCUGAGGAUAAUGCAUGGACGUCUCUGAGGAGGCACUCUUCUGCCCAUCAUGCACUGUGCUGAGGGAAGCCAGAUGACAAGAUAAACAGAUACAUGAAUUGCAUGCAUUUCUGUAUAUAUGUGCAUUUGUAUACAUACAUAACUUCACAUCAAGAAAUGCAUAUUGACAGAAGCAAAGAAAAUGCUGUAAUGGAGAAUAAAAUGGAGAACAAGUCUGUUGGAAGAGGAGACAUCUGUGCUGAGAACUGAAAGAGAAUACAAUCUCUCUUCCAAUUUCUCUUCUCUAAGAAAAUAGCUUUAUGGUUUAUACUCAUAAGAUUGUUUUGAGGAUUGAAUGAUGUGAAUGAUGUAAAUGAUGUAACAAUUUUUACAGAACAUCUAGUAGUAUCACUGAUGAUUCCCCAAUGCUUACAAUAGUUUCUUCACAGCGGUGGCUGCAGAACAGCGGUGGCUGUAGAACAGCGGAUUUUGGUGACCCGCAAAUGCUGCUGCCUGAUCAUUCCUCUGGAAGUUUUGUCUCAGAGGAGUACCCAGCCGUG